UACGGGGGGGGCAAGCGUUGUUCGGAAUUACUGGGCGUAAAGGGCUCGUAGGCGGCCAACUAAGUCAGACGUGAAAUCCCUCGGCUUAACCGGGGAACUGCGUCUGAUACUGGAUGGCUUGAGUUUGGGAGAGGGAUGCGGAAUUCCAGGUGUAGCGGUGAAAUGCGUAGAUAUCUGGAGGAACACCGGUGGCGAAGGCGGCAUCCUGGACCGAAUA
rnacentral:rRNA from 1 species